UCGAAGCCUAGAAAGCACGACCGCGAAAGAGUUUACAAUCGGGGAAGCCUUGGGAAGCACUUGUGCUUCUCGUUGCUCCCUCGUCGAUUGGCGAGGAGCAUUUAGUUGCUCGUCUUUCGAAUCUAACGAACCCCGGCGCGGACAGCGCCAAGGAAUUUAAACGAAAAGAACUCGACCCUCUAACCCAUCAAUUGGGCUCAGAGGGCCUUGUUUGUUCAGAAAAUGUCAUAACGACUCUCGGCAACGGAUAUCUCGGCUCUCGCAUCGAUGAAGAACGUAGCAAAAUGCGAUACUUGGUGUGAAUUGCAGAAUCCCGUGAAUCAUCGAGUCUUUGAACGCAAGUUGCGCCUGAAGCCUUUAGGCCGAGGGCACGUCUGCCUGGGCGUCAUGCACUGCGAUGCCCCCAUUAAGUAUGCGGGGUGAAUCAUGGCCUCCCGUUAGCCCAACUUGCGGAUGGCUUAAAAAUGAGCCUCGAGACUGAAAGACGUCGCGACAAGUGGUGGUCAAAGAGGCCUUAGGCCUUGGAACUUAGCGUGUCGCGAACUUUUGCUCUUUUGCUCGAAAAAAGACCUUAGUGAAGUGUGAUCAUUUCUAGCAUC
rnacentral:misc_RNA from 1 species